rnacentral:rRNA from 1 species
GGUUAAGCGACUAAGCGUACACGGUGGAUGCCCUGGCAGUCAGAGGCGAUGAAGGACGUGCUAAUCUGCGAAAAGCGUCGGUAAGGUGAUAUGAACCGUUACAGCCGGCGAUGUCCGAAUGGGGAAACCCAGUGCAAUUCGUUGCACUAUCGUUAACUGAAUACAUAGGUUAACGAGGCGAACCGGGGGAACUGAAACAUCUAAGUACCCCGAGGAAAAGAAAUCAACCGAGAUUCCCCCAGUAGCGGCGAGCGAACGGGGAGCAGCCCAGAGUCUGAAUCAGCUUGUGUGUUAGUGGAACGGUCUGGAAAGUCCGACGGUACAGGGUGAUAGUCCCGUACACCAAAAUGCACAGGUUGUGAACUCGAAGAGUAGGGCGGGACACGUGGUAUCCUGUCUGAAUAUGGGGGGACCAUCCUCCAAGGCUAAAUACUCCUGACUGACCGAUAGUGAACCAGUACCGUGAGGGAAAGGCGAAAAGAACCCCGGCGAGGGGAGUGAAAAAGAACCUGAAACCGUGUACGUACAAGCAGUGGGAGCACCUUCGGGUGUGACUGCGUACCUUUUGUAUAAUGGGUCAGCGACUUAUAUUCUGUAGCAAGGUUAACCGUAUAGGGGAGCCGCAGGGAAACCGAGUCUUAACUGGGCGUUAAGUUGCAGGGUAUAGACCCGAAACCCGGUGAUCUAGCCAUGGGCAGGUUGAAGGUUGGGUAACACUAACUGGAGGACCGAACCGACUAAUGUUGAAAAAUUAGCGGAUGACUUGUGGCUGGGGGUGAAAGGCCAAUCAAACCGGGAGAUAGCUGGUUCUCCCCGAAAGCUAUUUAGGUAGCGCCUCGUGAACUCAUCUUCGGGGGUAGAGCACUGUUUCGGCUAGGGGGUCAUCCCGACUUACCAACCCGAUGCAAACUACGAAUACCGAAGAAUGUUAUCACGGGAGACACACGGCGGGUGCUAACGUCCGUCGUGAAGAGGGAAACAACCCAGACCGCCAGCUAAGGUCCCAAAGUCAUGGUUAAGUGGGAAACGAUGUGGGAAGGCACAGACAGCCAGGAUGUUGGCUUAGAAGCAGCCAUCAUUUAAAGAAAGCGUAAUAGCUCACUGGUCGAGUCGGCCUGCGCGGAAGAUGUAACGGGGCUAAACCAUGCACCGAAGCUGCGGCAGCGACACUAUGUGUUGUUGGGUAGGGGAGCGUUCUGUAAGCCUGCGAAGGUGUGCUGUGAGGCAUGCUGGAGGUAUCAGAAGUGCGAAUGCUGACAUAAGUAACGAUAAAGCGGGUGAAAAGCCCGCUCGCCGGAAGACCAAGGGUUCCUGUCCAACGUUAAUCGGGGCAGGGUGAGUCGACCCCUAAGGCGAGGCCGAAAGGCGUAGUCGAUGGGAAACAGGUUAAUAUUCCUGUACUUGGUGUUACUGCGAAGGGGGGACGGAGAAGGCUAUGUUAGCCGGGCGACGGUUGUCCCGGUUUAAGCAUGUAGGCUGGUUGUCCAGGCAAAUCCGGAUAAUCAAGGCUGAGGUGUGAUGACGAGGCACUACGGUGCUGAAGUAACAAAUGCCCUGCUUCCAGGAAAAGCCUCUAAGCAUCAGGUAACAUCAAAUCGUACCCCAAACCGACACAGGUGGUCAGGUAGAGAAUACCAAGGCGCUUGAGAGAACUCGGGUGAAGGAACUAGGCAAAAUGGUGCCGUAACUUCGGGAGAAGGCACGCUGGUGUGUAGGUGAAGUCCCUGCGGAUGGAGCUGAGACCAGUCGAAGAUACCAGCUGGCUGCAACUGUUUAUUAAAAACACAGCACUGUGCAAACACGAAAGUGGACGUAUACGGUGUGACGCCUGCCCGGUGCCGGAAGGUUAAUUGAUGGGGUUAUCCGUAAGGAGAAGCUCUUGAUCGAAGCCCCGGUAAACGGCGGCCGUAACUAUAACGGUCCUAAGGUAGCGAAAUUCCUUGUCGGGUAAGUUCCGACCUGCACGAAUGGCGUAAUGAUGGCCAGGCUGUCUCCACCCGAGACUCAGUGAAAUUGAACUCGCUGUGAAGAUGCAGUGUACCCGCGGCAAGACGGAAAGACCCCGUGAACCUUUACUAUAGCUUGACACUGAACAUUGAGCCUUGAUGUGUAGGAUAGGUGGGAGGCUUUGAAGCGUGGACGCCAGUCUGCGUGGAGCCAACCUUGAAAUACCACCCUUUAAUGUUUGAUGUUCUAACGUUGGCCCCUGACCGGGGUUGCGGACAGUGUCUGGUGGGUAGUUUGACUGGGGCGGUCUCCUCCCAAAGCGUAACGGAGGAGCACGAAGGUUAGCUAAUCCUGGUCGGACAUCAGGAGGUUAGUGCAAUGGCAUAAGCUAGCUUGACUGCGAGCGUGACGGCGCGAGCAGGUGCGAAAGCAGGUCAUAGUGAUCCGGUGGUUCUGAAUGGAAGGGCCAUCGCUCAACGGAUAAAAGGUACUCCGGGGAUAACAGGCUGAUACCGCCCAAGAGUUCAUAUCGACGGCGGUGUUUGGCACCUCGAUGUCGGCUCAUCACAUCCUGGGGCUGAAGUAGGUCCCAAGGGUAUGGCUGUUCGCCAUUUAAAGUGGUACGCGAGCUGGGUUUAGAACGUCGUGAGACAGUUCGGUCCCUAUCUGCCGUGGGCGCUGGAGAAUUGAGGGGGGCUGCUCCUAGUACGAGAGGACCGGAGUGGACGCAUCACUGGUGUUCGGGUUGUCAUGCCAAUGGCACUGCCCGGUAGCUAAAUGCGGAAGAGAUAAGUGCUGAAAGCAUCUAAGCACGAAACUUGCCCCGAGAUGAGUUCUCCCUGAGACUUUAAGUCUCCUGAAGGAACGUUGAAGACGACGACGUUGAUAGGCCGGGUGUGUAAGCGCAGCGAUGCGUUGAGCUAACCGGUACUAAUGAACCGUGAGGCUUAACCUUAC